GAUGAACGCUGGCGGCGUGCCUAAUACAUGCAAGUCGAGCGAACAGACGAGGAGCUUGCUCCUCUGACGUUAGCGGCGGACGGGUGAGUAACACGUGGAUAACCUACCUAUAAGACUGGGAUAACUUCGGGAAACCGUAGCUAAUACCGGAUAAUAUAUUGAACCGCAUGGUUCAAUAGUGAAAGACGGUUUUGCUGUCACUUAUAGAUGGAUCCGCGCCGCAUUAGCUAGUUGGUAAGGUAACGGCUUACCAAGGCGACGAUGCGUAGCCGACCUGAGAGGGUGAUCGGCCACACUGGAACUGAGACACGGUCCAGACUCCUACGGGAGGCAGCAGUAGGGAAUCUUCCGCAAUGGGCGAAAGCCUGACGGAGCAACGCCGAGUGAGUGAUGAAGGUCUUCGGAUCGUAAAGCUCUGUUAUUAGGGAAGAACAAAUGUGUAAGUAACUAUGCACGUCUUGACGGUACCUAAUCAGAAAGCCACGGCUAACUACGUG
rnacentral:rRNA from 1 species